UGAACUCCUGAGUUCAAACGAUCCACCUUCCUGGGCCUCCCAAAGUGCUAAGAUUACAGGCCUGAGCCACCGCCCCCUGCCCAGUUGAGGUUGUCUGGGCACACAGCCUUAGCCAUUUGGUGACAGAUGACCUGCGCUGGCUUUAUUGAGUCGCUGUCUGGCUGCAGAGCUGCAGGACCUGGGUGGGGCAAAUUCCUACCCACUGACCAACCUGAGCAUCUACGCUGAAAGCUCAGCUCCAACCUCCCUACUAGCUGUGCAGCCUUCCGGGAAGCCAGUGACCAUGUUGUGAGGAUGCUCAAGCAGUCUUUUGUAGGGGCCCACGUGGCAAAAAACUGAGCCCUCCCACCAACAGCCAUGUGAGAGAAGUGGGCUGGCAGCAGCUCGUCCAGCCCCAAGCGAACCUUCAGAUGAUGCAGCCCCAGAGCGUCUCCACUGAGGCCUUACCAGAGGCCAGACCCAGAGCCAGCCAGCUAAGCCAGGCCCAGAGCAACUGUGUGCGACACUGUUUACUGUUGUUGAAGGUGAGGAAACUGAGGCACAGUUUGGGACUGUGCUUGGGAACUUGCUUGGGAGCAGCGUGAAGAGUUAGGAAUCCAGGAAGUCUGGCUCCAGAGUCGGGCUCUAAACCACCAACGCUUUGUUGAAUGACUUAGGAUAAAAGAACACAGCCAAGGGGAGAAGGGACCCCUCUCUUUCCAGAUCGGCUGAGAACCUGGCGGAUGCUUCAUCUCAAGACAGGCUGGCUAUGGCAUGCUGGCAGCCCUCUCUGGUGAACAGUGGCGUCAGCAAGGCUGCCUGGGCUUGACGAGGGCAGUGUAGCCACCUAAGCACAGGUGACCAUCAAAGGAGAGUGACACCUUUAAAGAGGGGUCAUCAGAAACCAGAGGGCAGGCCUGUGCGAGCUGGCAGGGCACUGGGGACCAUUGAGACCCAACCGUACGACAUAGGAGCUUCAGGACGUGAGGUGGGCACUCUUUCAUGUAAAAAAUCCCAGAGGAAAGAGAUCGCCGGGACUCGAGACCCCUUAACCCGCCCCAUCCACAGUCAACGAAUCCCUGAGACCGGAUUCCCUAACGAGGCGCUCCCGGUGCCACCGCCCGCCAGACCC
rnacentral:lncRNA from 1 species